GAUGACUUCUGGAGUGCUUUCUAGUUUUCCUGCUUUCCUGCUACCUUAAUCUACACAGAGGCCUUCCAUAUUACAACCCUCGAUGGUAUCGUAGGGAGAAAUGAUUACUUCUGGAGUCCUUUGUAGUAUUCCUGCUUUCCUGCUACCUUAAUCUACACAGAGGCCUUCCAUAUUACAACCCUCGAUGGUAUCGUAGGGAGAAAUGAUGACUUCUGGAGUGCUUUGUAGUUUUCCUGCUUUCCUGCUACCUUUAAUCUACACAGAGGCCUUCCAUAUUACAACCCUCGAUGGUAUCGUAGGGAGAAAUGAUGAUUUCUGGAGUCCUUUGUAGUUUUCCUGCUUUCCUGCUACUUUAAUCAACACAUAGCAGGCCUUCCAUAUUACAACCCUCGAUGGUAUCGUAGGGAGAAAUGAUGACUUCUGGAGUCCUUUGUAGUUUUCCUGCUUACAGAGGCCUUCCAUAUUACAACCCUCGAUGGUAUCGUAAGGAGAAAUGAUUACCUACUUCUG